rnacentral:rRNA from 1 species
UGGGGAAUUUUGGACAAUGGGGGAAACCCUGAUCCAGCCAUCCCGCGUGUGCGAUGAAGGCCUUCGGGUUGUAAAGCACUUUUGGCAGGAAAGAAACGUCAUGGGUUAAUACCCCGUGAAACUGACGGUACCUGCAGAAUAAGCACCGGCUAACUACGUGCCAGCAGCCGCGGUAAUACGUAGGGUGCAAGCGUUAAUCGGAAUUACUGGGCGUAAAGCGUGCGCAGGCGGUUCGGAAAGAAAGAUGUGAAAUCCCAGAGCUCAACUUUGGAACUGCAUUUUUAACUACCGGGCUAGAGUGUGUCAGAGAGAGGUGGAAUUCCGCGUGUAGCAGUGAAAUGCGUAGAUAUGCGGAGGAACACCGAUGGCGAAGGCAGCCUCCUGGGAUAACACUGACGCUCAUGAACGAAAGCGUGGGGAGCAAACAGG